AUGCUGGUAGACUUUUUUUGGGAUCGGCUUCACUGGGUCCCUCAAAGCAUACUUUUCCUGCCUUUGGAUGAAGGAGGUCAAGGUCUGGUGCAUCUGUUCAGUAGACUUGGAACUUUUCGCCUGCAGUUUAUCCAGAGACUGCUAACUGGGCCUGAAGAUCUAGUCUGGAGGAAAGUGGCUCAGAACAUAUUACAGAGGAUUGAUGGACUUGGACUUGACAGUACUCUGGUAUUUACGGAUCACAAACAACUGAAUUACAAAGGACUUCCUUCAUUUUAUCAUGGAUUAUUUAAGAUGUGGGGACUUUUCAGUAUUAUCAGGGUUUGUAAAACAGAGUCAUUGUUUUGGUUACUUGAGGAGCCUUUGGUUAAAGGAUCUCGUUUUGACUUGUCAAAUGAGUGUUUGCCAGGUCUAUCAUUAAGACUUUGUGGCUCUGGUUUGGUAAAGUUAAGGAACUUAAUUGAUGUGGCUGGGCCUCAUUUAAGUGAUGCUCUUGCCCUGGCCGACAUUUUAGGUCAGAGAUCCGUACGCCAAACUGAAUUUAUUUUAAAACUCUGGAAAAAAAGAUUAACAGAGGAGGAAAUAACUAUGUUACAGAGCUUUGCUGAUGGAAGUUUGAUUCCAGAUACAAAAGAUCCUUUUCCCAAAGUUGCCAUUUCUCCUGAUAUGAGAGGUAUGUCUAGCAUACUGCUAGAUAUAGAAGGUCUAAAAGAUCUGGACCUGAGUUUUGCUGGAGGAAAAGAGCUUUAUAGGUGUUUUGUUAAAAUUUUGAAUAAAGGGGCAUUAAACCAGAAAAAAGACACUAGUUGGCGAGAAAAAUGUGGUUUAAGAGAGGAAGACAAGCCGGUUUGGAGGGUGCUAUACAAACCACCAUUGAAUAAGCAGUCUGGUGACCUGCAGUGGCGUAUCUUACAUGGGGCUAUAGCGGUGAACGCCUUUGUCUCUGUUAUUAACUCAGAUGUUGUUGAUAAAUGUGUGUUUUGUGGGAUAAGAGAGACUGUUUUUCAUUGCUUUACAGAAUGUUUUCGACUGGGACCGAUCUUUGCCUUGUUAAAGGGCUUAUUUUUAAGAUUUCAGGAAAACUUCUCUACUAAUGCCUUUAUUUUAGGAUUGAGAUAUUGUCAGAAGCAGAGAAUAAAGUGGCAGCUGAUCAACUUUAUUGUUGGACAAGCAAAAUUUGCAAUAUAUGUUACAAGGAGAAACAGAAUUGAAAACAGACCAAAUCAAGAUGCUGUAAUUCUUUUUAAAGCUUUUUUAAGGGCUCGGGUGAGUGUUGAAUUUAAGUAUUAUCAACUAAUGAAUGAUUUGGAGUCUUUUGAAUUACAGUGGUGUUUUAAUAAUAUUAUUUGUGUUGUAAUUGAUGGAGAAUUAAUUUUUGAUAUGUUGUUAAUUUGA
ensembl:lncRNA